rnacentral:rRNA from 1 species
UACGAAGGGGGCUAGCGUUGUUCGGAAUUACUGGGCGUAAAGCGCACGUAGGCGGAUUUUUAAGUCAGGGGUGAAAUCCCAGGGCUCAACCCUGGAACUGCCUUUGAUACUGAGGAUCUGGAGUUCGGGAGAGGUGAGUGGAAUUCCGAGUGUAGAGGUGAAAUUCGUAGAUAUUCGGAGGAACACCAGAAGCGAAGGCGGCUCACUGGCCCGAUACUGACGCUGAGGCGCGAAAGCGUGGGGAGCAAACAGG